rnacentral:rRNA from 1 species
AUUGAACGCUGGCGGCAGGCCUAACACAUGCAAGUCGAACGAGCGGCGGACGGGUGAGUAAUGUAUGGGAAACUGCCCGAUAGAGGGGGAUAACUACUGGAAACGGUAGCUAAUACCGCAUACUAUCGGAUGUGCCCAUAUGGGAUUAGCUAGUAGGUGGGGUAAAGGCUCACCUAGGCGACGAUCCCUAGCUGGUCUGAGAGGAUGAUCAGCCACACUGGAACUGAGACACGGUCCAGACGCCUACGGGAGGCAGCAGUGGGGAAUAUUGCACAAUGGGCGCAAGCCUGAUGCAGCCAUGCCGCGUGUAUGAAGAAGGCCUUCGGGUUGUAAAGUACUUUCAGCGGGGAGGCGUUACCCGCAGAAGAAGCACCGGCUAACUCCGUGCCAGCAGCCGCGGUAAUUC